UUAUGAGAGCGCUGUAUCCGAAACGGAGGAAGGCGAUAUUUCAUCAGUCUUCACAUUGCAGGAAUCACGGGAAAAGAAAUCUUUGCUCCAGGCGUUCCGCAGAGUUAUCCGCUGGGGUGGCGUGCCCUUGAACAUGAUUAUUGACACGGGAUCGCCGUUUUCUAUCAUUCCGCAGGAGGUGUAUCUAAAGCACCGUCUGAGUUGGCCACGCUUAUCGAAAUGCAAACACACGCUCAACUGUUACUUGGGCAAGCUACCCAUUGUCGGUGAACUGCACCUUGAAGCCAAUUUUGCGGGGAAGACUGUACCUGCCACACUGAUAGUUACAGGCUGCUCGGGUCCUAGCCUUUGCGGAAGGGACUUAAUCCAAGCGUUCUCGCUUUUGCCGUCGGGGUUUCUCGCUGCGGUUCAACCGACGUCAGCAGAUCCCGACAGCUUCAGGACCGAGUUUCCUGCCCUUUUUGAGCCAGGACUUGGAAACAUUCAGGGGCCACCUGUGAAAUUCCACAUUCGAGAAGGCGCCCAACCGAAGUUCCACAAGGCGCGGUCAAUUCCUUAUGCUCUUCGUGAAAAAGUGGAAACUGAGCUGGACCGUUUAGUACAGCAAGGCAUACUAUCGCCCAUAGCACAUUCUGAGUGGGCAGCGCCAAUCGUACCAGUACUGAAGAAAGACGGUUCCCUUCGCAUCUGCGGCGAUUUCAAAACCACAAUCAAUGCUGCGUGCAUAACUGAGCAGUACCCUUUACCAAACAUUGAAGACAUUUUCGCGUCGCUACGUGGGGGAUCAUUUUUCACCACACUGGACCUUAAGGAUGCAUAUAACCAACUCCCAUUGGAUGAGGAGGCGAGGAAGUUGGCCGUGAUAAACACUCACAAGGGGUUGUUUUGCUAUAACCGUCUUCCGUUUGGAGUUGCCUCGGCUCCCGCGAUUUUCCAGCGGCGCAUGGAAACGGUCCUGGCCGGUCUUCCAGCCGUGCAGGUGUAUUUGGACGAUGUAUUGAUAGCGGAACGUCAAGACGAUAAUGGCUCAGUGCUUCGGGACGUUUUGCGCAGGCUUCAAGAAAAUGGUAUCAAGCUGAAGGCCGAAAAAUGCCAUUUUCGCAAAGACUCAAUCGUCUACCUGGGCCAUCGCAUUGACAAAGACGGCUUGCAUCCGCUUGAAAAGAACCUAGCAGCAAUACGCGACUCGCCACGGCCUACGAAUGUGAGCGAACUGCGUUCUUUCUUGGGUCUGUUGACUUAUUAUCACCGGUUCUUGCCACACAUGUCAACGAUGCUGGCACCGUUGUAUCUCUUGCUUGAAAAAGAGCAUAAAUGGCACUGGGGAACGGCGCAGGAAAAUUCAUAUCUCAAGGCUAAACAAACACUUCUGAGUUCGCCUGUUCUGACGUAUUUCGAUCCCAACCAACCAGUGCGUUUGGAAUGCGAUGCGUCACCUUCGGGUUUAGGUGCCGUAAUUUCGCACCGAAUUGGACAAUUGGAUAAGCCCAUUGCUUUCCGUUCACGCAUGUUAACACACGCCGAAAAGAAUUAUUCUCAGCUCGAGAAGGAAGCGCUCGCACUGGUGUUCGGAGUAACAAAGUUUCGAGACUACCUGCUGGGCCGCGAGUUUGUAUUGGUCACGGACCACCAACCACUGGUGGGACUUCUACGAGAAGAUCGACCUGUGCCCCCAAUGGCGUCGGCACGUAUUCAGAGAUGGGCUCUGUUUCUAAGCCAAUAUAGCUACCGCAUAGAGUACAAGGCCGGCAAGGAAAACGCCAACACGGACGCACUCAGCCGCUUGCCCGUGCCGAUAACAGACGUUUGUCGAUCGGGAACCUUACCAGAAUACGUAUUGUCUACAGAGACCCUUGACAGCUCGUUCGUGCCAGCGGAUGCCAUACGGGCGCUGACGAACGGAGAUGAAAACCUUAGCGUUGUGCAGCACUUUGUACUGAAUGGAUGGCCUAAACGCUUGUCACCUUGUCACAAUCACCUUCAACCUUAUUUUUGCAGAAGACUGGAGCUGUCAAGCGUAGAAGGCCUGCUCUACUGGGGUCAUCGCAUCGUCGUACCCCGCAAAGCGCGAGCCUCCAUGCUCGCUGAGCUACAUCGGUCACACCAGGGUGCAUCUGCGAUGAAAAGACUGGCUCGGACGCUGUUCUGGUGGCCUGGGUUGGAUGCCUCCCAGAUUCCAGUCCGGCGACCAGGUGUGGGUGCGCAACUUUGGCCAAGGGGAGCGUUGGCGUCCAGGCAUCGUCAAGAGCAUAGAGGGUUCACGCCUUGUAACGGUUGACACUCCAGAUGGCCUAGCCCGACGUCACUUCGACCAAAUUUCCCGUCGCGUGCCUGUGCCACACGUGACCCCAAAAGCGGAGGCGUCCGACUCGCUUCAACCCAGCCCGGACAACAAGCAUUGGCCCACGUCAACGCCAGAAGCCCGGUGCAGCCUGGCCACUCCAGAAGCAAGUGGCGCUACGCCUGUUCCUUCGACAACACCUCCAACGUCCGUCCCAGCCGAACAGGCUCUCUCUCCCCCAAGUCCGCCGGUCUUACGGAGGUCUACCCGACAACGAAGACCCGUGCAAAGACUGCACUUUUAAAGAAAGGGAGAAGUGAUAUGAAGUGCUGUGCCACACGUGUCAAACAUGAUUCGUUCUUUUUAUGUUACGUCAUAGGCAAGCAGCCUAUAUAUCUAGAUCGCUGUCGCUGAAAUAAAACAGUGCGGUACGUGCUCUUGGA